rnacentral:lncRNA from 1 species
UCCCCAUUUAAUCAGAACUCUCAUUGUAUAGAAUUCUACUUCAAGUGAGACUCAUUCUUCAAUUCCAACUCUUGUCUCCCUAAUGUUGUAGUCAAAAUCCAACUCUUUAAAUCAACACAUUUUUAUUUCCUUGAGUUUAUCUGAAUUAUCCACCAAUUUGUUCCUUCCUUGAUUUUUUCACGCUUGUCUUUAAUCAUCAAUGAUUUUGCUACAAGUUUUAGCUACAUGAGAUAGUGUGUCUGUGAACCAG